rnacentral:rRNA from 1 species
UACAGAGGGUGCAAGCGUUAAUCGGAUUUACUGGGCGUAAAGCGCGCGUAGGCGGCUAAUUAAGUCAAAUGUGAAAUCCCCGAGCUUAACUUGGGAAUUGCAUUCGAUACUGGUUAGCUAGAGUGUGGGAGAGGAUGGUAGAAUUCCAGGUGUAGCGGUGAAAUGCGUAGAGAUCUGGAGGAAUACCGAUGGCGAAGGCAGCCAUCUGGCCUAACACUGACGCUGAGGUGCGAAAGCAUGGGGGAGCAAACA